CCAUACUAUCCCCAACGUGCUUGAUCUAGUCUGAUUUCAGAAGCUAAGAAGAGCCAGGCUUUGUUACUGCUUGGAUGAGAUUCCCUCAGGGAAUUCAUAGAG
rnacentral:rRNA from 1 species